rnacentral:rRNA from 1 species
UACAGAGGUCUCAAGCGUUUGUUCGGAUUCAUUGGGCGUAAAGGGUGCGUAGGUGGCGGGGUAAGUCAGGUGUGAAAUCUCGGAGCUCAACUCCGAAACUGCACUUGAUACUGCCUUGCUGGAGUACUGGAGAGGAGAUUGGAAUUUACGGUGUAGCAGUGAAAUGCGUAGAUAUCGUAAGGAAGACCAGUGGCGAAGGCGAAUCUCUGGACAGUUACUGACACUGAGGCACGAAGGCCAGGGGAGCAAACGGG